rnacentral:rRNA from 1 species
GGGUUAGUAGGUUGGUCAUGCCUCUGGUAUGUACUGGUCUCACUGAUUCCUCCUUCCUGAUGAACCUUAAUGCCAUUAAUUUGGUGUUUUGGGGAAUUUGGACUGUUACUUUGAAAAAAUUAGAGUGUUUAAAGCAAGCUAACGCUUGAAUACAUUAGCAUGGAAUAAUGAAAUAGGACGUUCGAUCCUAUUUUGUUGGUUUCUAGGGCUAAAGUA